CCAUUUAAAGUGGUACGUGAGCUGGGUUUAAAACGUCGUGAGACAGUUUGGUCCCUAUCUGCCGUGGGCGUUGGAAGUUUGAGGGGGGCUGCUCCUAGUACGAGAGGACCGGAGUGGACGUAUCCCUGGUGUACCGGUUGUGACGCCAGUCGCAUCGCCGGGUAGCUAAAUACGGAAGAGAUAACCGCUGAAAGCAUCUAAGCGGGAAACUCGCCUCAAGAUGAGACUUCCCGAGGGCUUGACCCUCCUAAAGGUUCGUCAAAGACGAUGACGUUGAUAGGCUCGGUGUGGAAGGGCAGUAAUGCCUUGAGCUAACGAGUACUAAUUGACCGUGCGGCUUGAUCCUAUAACCUUA
rnacentral:rRNA from 1 species